GUCAAAUGUUGAAAGCUAAGAGGGGACCAGUCAGUUAAAAAACAGGAGACACAAGAAAAAGAGUGAGACUUGGUAAUGCAGAAACAAAAAUAUUGGGCCAUGUUACACAUGGACAAAAUGUUGUCUUGGUAUCUGGCUGCUGAGAAUCUGCUACAAUAUUCUUUUACUUGUAGUUUGGUGACCCUGUGGAACCAAGAGCAGGCACUGCAAGAGACUGUUUACCAACUUCGCAUUUCCCUCAACCAGGGCCAAACUAAGGCUUCCUCUGAUCGAAGGAUUGGAGAAGUCACUGACGAAGCAAUCAUAAAAGCCAAG
rnacentral:lncRNA from 1 species